rnacentral:lncRNA from 1 species
GGCAAAGGUUGUUCUGACUGUGACUGUGGCUGAGGUGAAGGUUUUUGUGGCUGAGGCUGUGCUGAAGGUUUUUGUAGCUGAGGCUGAGCUGGAGGCUUUUGUGGCUGAGGCUGGGGUGAAGGUUUUUGUGACUGAGGCUUGGGCGAAGGUUUCUGUGGCUGAGGGAUAGGCAUAGGUUGUUGCAGCCGUGGCUGCGAUAAAGGUUGUUGCGGCUGUGGCCGAGGCAAAGAUUGUUGUGGUUGAGGUCGAGGCAAAGGUUGCUGCGGUUGAGGGCGAGGCAAAGGUUGUUGGGACUGAUUCGUGCGGGGCUGUUGCUGAGGCAAUGAUUGUAUAUGAUGUUGUUGUUGCAAAUUGAAAGCUUGUGGUUGCUGCUGAGGCAAUAAUUGCUGCGGAGACAGCAGCUGUUGCUGAGGGAAUGGUUGUAGGAAUUGUUGCUGCUGUUGUUGCAUAGGCGAAGAUUGAUGUAGGUGUUCA